rnacentral:rRNA from 1 species
AAUAUUGGACAAUGGGGGCAACCCUGAUCCAGCCAUGCCGCGUGUGUGAAGAAGGUCUUCGGAUUGUAAAGCACUUUAAGUUGGGAGGAAGGGUUGUAGAUUACUACUCUGCACUUUUGACGUUACCAUCAGAAUAAGCACCGUCUCACUUCUUUCCAGCAGCCGCGGUAAUACGAAGGGUGCAAGCGUUAAUCGGAAUUACUGGGCGUAAAGCGCGCGUAGGUGGUUCAGUAAGAUGGGUGUGAAAGCCCCGGGCUUAACCUGGGAAAUGCUUUCAUAACUGCUGAGCUAGAGUACGGUAGAGGGUAGUGGAAUUUCCUGUGUAGCGGUGAAAUGCGUAGAUAUAGGAAGGAACACCAGUGGCGAAGGCGACUACCUGGACUGAUACUGACACUGAGGUGCGAAAGCGUGGGGAGCAAAC